UACCAGCACCCCGAGUGGUCGGGACGUUUAUUGGGCCUAAAGCAUCCGUAGCCGGUUCUACAAGUCUUCCGUUAAAUCCAGCUGCUUAACAGAUGGGCUGCGGAAGAUACUAUGGAGCUAGGAGGCGGGAGAGGCAAGCGGUACUCGAUGGGUAGGGGUAAAAUCCGUUGAUCCAUUGAAGACCACCAGUGGCGAAGGCGGCGAUCUGGGAAGAUACUGACGCUGAGGUGCGAAAGCGUGGGGAGCAAACAGG
rnacentral:rRNA from 1 species